GCACGCAUGCAGGUGGACCACGUGAUGGGGCAGGGCGGGGACCUGUCCAACAUCCUGUACGUGCCGGGCGGGCCGCCGGACCUGGGCUGCGGCUUCCCGCGCUUCGAGAACCUCCGCGUCGACGGCGGCGGCUACGACGACGACCCCGGCCAGGUCACGCCCAACUCCAUCCUCGAGCACCCCGCGCAGCAGGGCAGCUGCGGCUACGGCGGCAGCGCCAGCGGGGGCUCCAGCAGCAACGGCGGCGUCCCGAGGAAGAAGAAGACCGGCGGCGGCGGCGGGUUCUUCCCUCAGAUCGUGCUGUCGCUCGGCAACCGGCGGAAGGGCGCGCCCCAUAGGGCGCCGCUUGCCUGACCGACGACAAGUACAGAUCCAACUCCGCCGCCGCCCGCCGGCGCUAUAUAGAUAUGUGCUGUUGAUUAUGCUGUUCAUUAUCGUUAGCUAGCCGUAUGUGUUUAGUAGCCGUGCUUAUUAAGUGUAAUCCUAUGAUUAGCCAUAUGUAGAGAGAGAGAGAUGGAGUGGCUGAGAGGGAUGGAUGGCCUCUAUUGUCUUCUAGGGACCCCAUGCAUCUCGAUCGGUGCAGUGUUUUGACGAGACUCGAGAGGCCAGAGGAGGAGGAGCAAGGCAAAAAGCUCUAGCUGCUGCCGGUAGCAAACCGCCCCUGUUGCAAGCCCAGGUAGGCCCUUUGGCGACGGCGAUGGUCGUCGUCGCCGGCGGCUACCAAUUUUGUACUUGAUGCAACGGGGGUCGCGUUUGCUCGGCAUGCCUACACCAUUGUUAAGUUCAUGACCAAUUAAUACUAGAUGUUGUCCAUCUAAUUGUUGA
rnacentral:lncRNA from 1 species